rnacentral:tRNA from 1 species
CAGAGAAUAGUUUAAUUUAGAACCCUAGCUUUGGGAGUUAGGGGUGGGAGUUGAAGUCUCUCUUCUUUGA